rnacentral:lncRNA from 1 species
UUAAAUUGCGAUGCUUCGAUCUUCUCUUUUAAUUACUACGAUCUUCCUUUUUAUUUAUUAGUUUCUCCUUGUUCGGAUUUUAAUUUAGAAGCUCGAUCGCUUGCGAUGUAUCUCCGAUAAGCCGUCUGAUGAAAUUCCUCGCGUUUUUCCAGCCGUUUGUCCACCAGCAGAUUUCAAUUAAGCAAAGAUGAAAGAAGUGUGGCCGGUUCGUUUGAAAAUUCGCAACGGGACCGGAAUUAAAAGUUGUCGGCGUGAUUUAUUUGCCGACGUGACGGAGCUUCGAUCCGCUUUCGCUAUGCGUCGAGAAAUAGAAAUUUACUGCCUUGCCAAAUCUCGAGCCCGAUAUUCCUGCGUUUCCAUGGAAUUUCCUUCGGGAAAGCUGAUUCUUCUACGAUGCCGAUCUUCGAAUUAACCUCGCCGUGUUCCUUCAGUCAUUUUACGCGCAAUUGCGCUUUCUUCCCUGUCGUUAACACGUUUGCUCAAUUUUGAGAAAAGUACAGGGUGGCUCCGUGAGUGGCUUUCUCGUUCGAAAGUCGUCUAACUCUGUUCUUAUUGCGUGUAAAAAUCAGUUAAAUUUACAGCUGUUUGAUCGCGUAGCUGGAUUACGCCUGACCUACUCUGAUGGCACGUAAAAAAUACUAAAUAGCACGAUCAUGUGCCCCGAAGUACCGUCUCUUCUUACGCUAAAGUCGUCUUUUUACGUUACUCGGAAGAAAUCGCAGUUUAUAGCAACGCCAAUAAAUCAUAUCGCCCGGGACGCAUUUCUGUUCAUAAUCUUCCAACAGUUCCAGAUUUUCAAAGUUUGUUCUCUGGAAAUUUACAAUGGGCGCGAUUCACCUCGGAGAAGAGAGUAGAAAUAAAUAAAAUUCUAUUUUCCAAAUCAAUUGAAUUUUCUAUGAACAAUUGAAUGUUAUUUUCAAAAGCGAUGCUGCGUUUUUUUCAGAAACUGGAAAUUCGAUAGAGAACUAAAAACAGAGCUGAAAGUCCGACAGAAAAAUAGGUGUACGGUAUUCGUUAGAGUACGAGAAUAUUUUAUCACAGAGACAAAUAAUUUGCUGGCCAUUUAGUUGAGAAUAUGGAACGUGACGGAAAAUUCACUGUCAGACCGUCGUCAUCGUUCGAAUGCCACGUGAGCUCUUCGCCCGUACAGGAAACACCAGAUUGACGAUGCUUUUGUGCGAGAAGCUGGAUCGAUAACGCGUGUACUGUCGCCAUUCAGAACGAUCGUUCGAAUUCAAUAGCCACUACGUAACGAUUCUUCGUGGAAAACGCUAAUAAAAUCGAACGAGAAAGCGGAGCGUCAAUGGGACGCGAGAAAGGUACUAAAUUUGAUCAACUUUUUCACGGAUUUUACGGCGUCCCGAUGAUUGAGUUACAAGC